GGGCGACGUGGCGGAGUGGUGACGCAGCGGAUUGCAAAUCCGGCGCACCACGUUGAAUCUCAAGCCAAUCUCGCGCA
rnacentral:tRNA from 1 species